AGUCUGCUUGGCUCAGGAAAGAUGGAGGAGAACAAAGAAAACGACCUUCAGCCUCCGUUACCUCAAUCUUACGCAGCAACUGUAGCCAGACAAAGUACAGUGCCUUCAACUUCGACCAUGCCAGGUUACUCGGAGGACGGCGGUGCCCUGCGAGGAGAAGUUAUCCCAGAGCAUGAGUUUGCAACUGGACCAGUGUGUCUCGACGACGAGAAUGAGUUUCCUCCUAUAAUCUUGUGCCGUGGAGGUCAGCCGGGCAAAGCCAAGAGGUCAUGAUGAGAAGCAAACAUCCGUGCUCAGGACAGCUGCUGGGAAGUGCUUUGGAAAAGCCAGGAGUUUCGAAGAACAGAUUUGUGAGUCCCCCAAGACGAGGAAAACAAAAAUAAAACCCCAGGUGGGCCACUGCUUUUUCCUAUGGUAUGUUGAAGUGACUACCUGGCCCCACUAGCCCCUUGUUUUAAUUCGUGUUGGGGAGGGGGGGGUGUCAAUGUACUGUAUGCACAUCACUCUAUUUAACAGACUAUAUGUUAGAACCACAAUGUAAAUGCUAAUUUAAUCAGAUUUGUAUGUAACCAGAAUUUUAUAUAUACCCGUUUGUCCCUUUUCUAAUUUAUGCUGGUUUAUGUGUAUAAAUGUACUUAUAGGAAAAGAUAUUACACUUAUGUCUUUGUACAGUAUAUACAUACUAUUUUACCCAGGCAAAGUAUUUUUGCAGUGAUAUUAGAGAAGAUGCCGUUUGCUAUGUUUAAAGACAGAAUAAAGUCAUGGUCUGUCCCUGGCA